rnacentral:rRNA from 1 species
AGUGAACGCUGGCGGUAGGCCUAACACAUGCAAGUCGAACGGCAGCACAGUAAGAGCUUGCUCUUACGGGUGGCGAGUGGCGGACGGGUGAGGAAUACAUCGGAAUCUACUUUUUCGUGGGGGAUAACGUAGGGAAACUUACGCUAAUACCGCAUACGACCUACGGGUGAAAGCAGGGGAUCUUCGGACCUUGCGCGAUUGAAUGAGCCGAUGUCGGAUUAGCUAGUUGGCGGGGUAAAGGCCCACCAAGGCGGCGAUCCGUAGCUGGUCGGGGAGGAUGAUCAGCCACACUGGAACUGCGACACGGUCCAGACUCCUACGGGAGGCAGCAGUGGGGAAUAUUAGACGAUGGGCGCAAGCCUGAUCCAGCCAUACCGCGUGAGUGAAGAAGGCCUUCGGGUUGUAAAGCCCUUUUGUUGGGAAAGAAAAGCAGCAGGUUAAUACCCCGCUGUUCUGACGGUACCCAAAGAAUAAGCACCGGCUAACUUCGUG